GAAAAACUAAACCCAAAAAAAAGGUGCAAUCUUGCCGUUUCUCAGAACCCGAGAUUCAAUUCUUGACUUCACUUGGAUGUUGUGAAUUGGAGUUUCGAAUCUAGUCAGCUCAAUUUAAUCUUUUCCGUCUGAAAAUCGGUAUUUUCCCUGGGUUGUGGCGGUAAACAUGUCUUUGUUAUCGAGAUAAAGAUUAGAAUUAGGGAAAUGCCGAGCGUCGGUUUGAAA
rnacentral:lncRNA from 1 species